rnacentral:rRNA from 1 species
GCAAGUCGAACGACCCCUUCGGGGGGAGUGGCGCACGGGUGCGUAACGCGAGGGAACCUGCAUUGAGGUUUGGAACAACAGUGAGAAAUAGCUGCUAAUACCAGAUAAUGUCUUCUGACCAAACAUUUAUCGCCUUUAGAUGGGCCCGCGUUGGAUUAGCUAGUUGGUGAGGUAACUGCUCACCAAGGCGACGAUCUCUAGCUGGUCUUAGAGGAUGACC